rnacentral:rRNA from 1 species
GACGAACGCUGGCGGCGUGCUUAACACAUGCAAGUCGAACGGUAAGGCCCUUCGGGGUACACGAGUGGCGAACGGGUGAGUAACACGUGGGUGAUCUGCCCUGCACUUCGGGAUAAGCCUGGGAAACUGGGUCUAAUACCGGGUAGGACCACUGCCUGCAUGGGAGGUGGUGGAAAGCUUUUGCGGUGUGGGAUGGGCCCGCGGCCUAUCAGCUUGUUGGUGGGGUGAUGGCCUACCAAGGCGACGACGGGUAGCCGGCCUGAGAGGGGGACCGGCCACACUGGGACUGAGAUACGGCCCAGACUCCUACGGGAGGCAGCAGUGGGGAAUAUUGCACAAUGGGCGCAAGCCUGAUGCAGCGACGCCGCGUGAGGGAUGACGGCCUUCGGGUUGUAAACCUCUUUCAGCACCGACGAAGCGCAAGUGACGGUAGGUGCAGAAGAAGGACCGGCCAACUACGUGCCAGCCGCCGCAGUAA